rnacentral:misc_RNA from 1 species
UGGGUUUUGGUGAUCUUAGUCACUCAUCGUCUUUUUCUUACUUCUUGGUUUGGACUUUGGAGAGAUGAAUGAAUCUACGGGGAAAACGACAUCGUGUCUGUCGAUAACGGAGAAAAGGCCUCACCGGCCUGGUGGUUGUGUGGGCAUUUUCUUUCAGCUCUUUGAUUGGAACCGUAGAUUUGCUAAGAAAAAGCUCUUCUCCAAGACAUUGCUUCCUCCAGCUCGUGCAAAGCAAUCGUCAAAAAAUUUUGGAGGGGAUGAGAAGAUGCCCAAAACCAAAUCUCAUUUGAUUGCCGAUGAGAACAGCAAGGGGUUCCCGAAUGUAAAGAAAAAUGGGAACCGUAGUGAUAGUGCACUGCCAAAGCACGAAAUGAGAGCUGCCGGUUUGGUUGCUAGGCUUAUGGGUCUUGAAUCUUUACCAGCAGUGCAUCGAGAUAAGCACAAAAAAGUUUCAAAUUCUCCUCCUUGUGAAGUUAAAGAAGAGAAAUUUGAUAACUGUAAUAUUGUGUCUGAGAUUGAACUUCUAAACUCGGAGAAGGGAAGCACUAAGGUUGAAUCUAGGCCUCCAAAGCUUCAAAAGACAGGGCAGUUUGAGAGAACGGCAGUGACUAGGUUUGGAGCUGAGGCUUUGCAAAUUAGGAAUGUAUUGUCGAGAGCAAGAAAGCAUCAUCACCCCAAGCUUGCUUCACCAGUGAAGAGUCCUAGGAUUUCCUCUUCCAGGAAUGUGUCUAGGGCAUCCAGAUUAAUUGAUGCUGCUACUCGGAUUUUGGAACCUGGGUUGCAUGCUACCAGUAGAGCAAAAUGUGCUCUUACUUAUUCAAGUUCUACGAAUUAUGUUCCCAAGAACGAAGUUUUGAUGGAUGCAAUGGGAUUGGGAGUCGUUUCACCAGAUAUACUGAAACAACAUAGAAAUGAUGUCAACUAUAAUAUGGGUGUGGACAAGUCUUUGAUGGGGCAGACUUCUUGCAAAAAUUGUGGAAAUUUGCUUGAUGUGGUGGAUUCUAGACCGAGAGUGGAGGAGCAGCCAUUUGUUUGUCAAUCCUCAGCUGCAAAUGUCCCCAAUAACUCUUUGCAGGGGUUGGAGAGGAUUAAGCCAAGGCCAACCAAUUCUUCCCCUGAACAAGAAAGGGAUGUCGCUUAUCAUAGAAAUCAGGUUCAAUCCGCUGAAAGACUAGAUAGCACAAGGGCUUGUAGUGAACUCAUCUCAGAUAGGAAACCUGUGUCUUCAGAGGGCCAAAUGUCACGACAAUUGAAAAGCCAACAGUGCACUCCUCAAAAGGAUGAGCCUUCUUCUAUUGCUUUCCGGCAAAGGACUGAGAUCCGAAAUGAGAUGUCAGUAGCCAAGGGUAGAAUUCCACCAAGAGAUAAAUUAAACAAUCUGCAAAGCAGGAGAGCUUGUUCAGCUGCCAAUGCUAUUACCGGAGCCAAAGAUUUUGUUGCUUUGAACAGAAGUUUAAGCAGUCGCACCAGGCGAAGAGUAUCCAACAAGGCAGAUAAUUAUAUGGUAGAUAAAGAGAGAAAAUUUUGUAGCAGGCGAGAUGAUUCCUUGUCGCAGUUAAGGACCCCAGUGCGAAAGAGGAGGACUGUAAGCGUCAAUGCACAACUUGAUAGUACUGGACUUGUUGAUUCAACUUCUAUGAGACAGAAAAACGUUAAGUGUGAUUUUGUGAGUGGAAAAGAACUGGAGCAUAAUGCUUCCACUGCAGACCGUGAAAGCAUCAAAACCAGAUCGGCCAUUCAGGGGGAAGGUCAUAGAACUAGUGGCAAUAAUAAGGAUGAUAUCGUAUCUUUCACAUUUAGUUCCCCAUUGAGGCAUAAAAAUUUCGUUUCCUCAGGGCUGAAAGAUAUGAGGGAUCACAUUGAUAAAAAUGCUUCUCAACCAAGAAAGCUACCAUCUGAUGAAAGUGAUGGCCAAACAUCUUUGCAAAGACAAAUGCCAUUGAGAGGAGAUACUUUAGGGGCACUUUUGGAGCAAAAACUAAAGGAAUUGAUUUCUCAAGAAGAGGAAGAAUUGACAAAUGGAGGUGCCAUUCAUAAGAGAUCAACUGCUAUGAUUUUGCAAGAACUAAUAUCAGCUUUAACUUCACAACAGCCUUUUUCUCCAGAUGGUCAUAUGGUCAAUGCAGAAACAACUUUCCAGACGGAAGGAAGGGUAGGAGGAACUUCAGUUGGGUUUUCACAUGAUGGUGACCACCACCUGAGUCCUGGAUCUGUUCUUGAAGCUCCAUUCUCAAACGACAGUUGCUUUUCUAGCAGUCUGGAUGAUAGCUCAGGUAAGGAAGUUGAACUUUAUGGGAAUGCAAACAAAUAAACUUACAAACUGUCGUGAUUAAAUGCAGUGAAACUCUUUAUGAACAAUUUUUUGCACUAGAAGUUUUGUUUCUUCACUUACAAAUGGCAUUCUUUUUCAUAUCAUGUUGGCAAUCUUCAUAUAUUUCUUCCAUAUUGGCUUAUGGUGCCAGGGCGUAGGCUGCUCUCUGACUCCAUGGAUUACUCAUGUGAUAUGCUACAACCAAUAGAAACUGACACUGAUCUUCUGGAUUCUGCAACCUCUAGAAAUGGAUGUACAAGUACCAAAAUAGUGACUGAUCUUCUCAACCGCAUUUCUAGAAUAUUACUGAGCAUCGAUCUUGCUGAUGGAUUAACAGGAAGCAGGCUCACCUAUGCAAAGGAGGUGAUCUGGAAUUCUGAGCUGUUGUUCGGAAGUGCAGCUCAACGUAAUUCAGAUAGAAUGAAAAGUUUCCUGAGAGGUCCUAUAACCAUUCUAUUUGGUGAACUUGAAACUCAUGCUAGUGCCUCGUGGACAAAUUUCAAUGCCCUUGGUUUUGAGGAGAGCAAGGAGGGUAGCAAAGAUAGUCAAGUUAAAAGGUUUCUUUUUGAUUGUGUGAUAGAAUGCUUUGAUUCAAAAUAUAGCCGGUACUGUAACUCAGGAUUCGAAGCAUGGAGAAGAGUGCCCUUGUGCAUGAAUACAGAAAUGCUGAUUGAAGAGGUUGGGAAAGAGAUCAGAAGGUGGACAAAUUUGGCUGGGAUGAUUCCAGACGAGAUAAUAGAAUGGGAGAUGAGUCAUUCCUUGGGAAAAUGGACGGAUUUUGAAAUUGAAUCUUUUGAAACUGGAGCUCAGAUUGAUUGGGAUAUACUUCAAGUUUUGGUUGAUGAACUUGUGACGGACUUUUGCGGUUGCAGGCUGGGUUACUUGUGAAAUGGCCAAGCGUUUGUAAGUUUCUUUUUGUUAGUAAUGGAAACUGUCACAAGCUUAACCUGUGUCUAACCUGGGAGUAGCAUGGUUGUCCAACGUGAUGGAUGAUUUUUAAAAUGGCUAUUGACUUUGUAAAUGCUUGCCUGUAUCUGCAUUCUUGGAUAGUUACCUGUAACUUGGUUUGACAUGGAGAAACUACUUCAAAUGGUCUUUUGAUUGAAAAAAAAAAU